CCAAAACAUUGUUACAGCAUUACCAGAGGAUGCGGAUAUGAAAGACUUGCUAGUCUUCCCAGCAUGGACAAAAGCUAAUGGCCCUGACCACUACAUUGUCUGUACAAAUUGCCAACCAAAUUGAUCCGGGGAUCUGGACAGAAAUGACUGGAAAGGAUUUUUCGGCUUUGCCACGUCAGACAAGAGGGAAUGACUGUGAUGUUUUUGUGCUGAUGGUAGAGUCUUUAAUUUGUUUAUAAGUAAGGUCUAGUGAACAGUGUUAACAACAGCUUGUCUCCUUUAUUUCAGUACACCCUCUCAAUGGUCUGUGACAUCGAGUUCGAUUUCCAGGAGGUUGACAUGCCCAUGAUUAGAAAAUGGUGGUGCCUUGUGCUAAUGGAACGAUUUCAAAUU